AUUGAACGCUGGCGGCAGGCCUAACACAUGCAAGUCGGGCGGUAACACAGGGAGCUUGCUCCUGGGUGACGAGCGGCGGACGGGUGAGUAAUGUCUGGGAAACUGCCUGAUGGAGGGGGAUAACUACUGGAAACGGUAGCUAAUACCGCAUAACGUCGCAAGACCAAAGAGGGGGACCUUCCGGCCCCUUGCCAUCAGAUGUGCACAGAUGGGAUUAGCUAGUAGGUGGGGUAACGGCUCAACUAGGCGACGAUCCCUAGCUGGACUGAGAGGAUGACCAGCCACACUGGAACUGAGUCACGGUCCAGACUCCUACGGGAGGCAGCAGUGGGGAAUAUUGCACAAUGGGCGAAAGCCUGAUGCAGCCAUGCCGCGUGUAUGAAGAAGGCCUUCGGGUUGUAAAGUACUUUCAGCGGGGAGGAAGGUGUUGUGGUUAAUAACCACAGCAAUUGACGUUACCCGCAGAAGAAGCACCGGCUAACUCCGUGCCAGCCGCCGCGGUAACAC
rnacentral:rRNA from 1 species